AAUUGAUGUCCACAUCCAUUUCCCUUUAUGCGAUUUCUCUGUAUUCAAGACAUUGUCGAAUAGCUAUUUGGGGGUGAAGGAUCACAAGUUGUUUCCUCAAGUAGAAGAAAUUUUCCAAACCGGAGCGAGUCUGAGUCCGGCCGAGAUAGGUGAGCUCAUGAUUGCACACCGGAAUUCGCCGAGUCGAGCAUUGAAAUCUGUUAUAACGGCCUUGCAAACGGAAGGUGACCGUAGAGGGUCUGUGAAUGUCGGGCGGCGUUUGCUGGAUGCCGGGUCAAGAAAUUCGACGGAAGAUUCAAGCGAUCACUUGGGGAUAUUUUGUAAAGAAAAUUUCAAUGCCGUGAAAGAUAUCAGGAAAUUAUAUGGAUUACUGAGGUUGAGAAGUAACAGAAAAGCACAAUCGUUUGACUCGACUCCGGGCCAAAACGACGGGUGAUGAUACGGGUCGUGUCGUUUCGGAUAAAUUUACAUUUGGUAAGCAUGUGGGGG
rnacentral:misc_RNA from 1 species